CAGAGGUCCCGAGCGUUGUUCGGAUUCACUGGGCGUAAAGGGUGCGUAGGUGGUGGGGUAAGUCGGAUGUGAAAUCUCCGGGCUCAACCCGGAAAAUGCAUUGGAAACUACCUUGCUAGAGGUUUUGAGGGGGGACUGGAAUUCUCGGUGUAGCAGUGAAAUGCGUAGAUAUCGAGAGGAACACCGGUGGCGAAGGCGAGUCCCUGGAAAACACCUGACACUGAGGCACGAAAGCUAGGGGAGCAAACAGGAUUAGAUACCUUGGUAGUCCUAGCCCUAAACGGUGCUUGCUUGCUGUAAGUGGAAUCGACCCCACUUGUGGCGGAGCUAACGCGUUAAGCAAGCCGCCUGGGAAGUACGGUCGCAAGAUUA
rnacentral:rRNA from 1 species